GGAGCAGUAAAGCCACUCCACUAAAGUACAGCUUCAUAAGAGUUUCAGUUUAGUUCUCCAGAAGUAUUAGCAUUAGCUGCUAACUGCGCAAAGCGCUAGCUCUAUCUCUGUUCAGAGAUGUACACGGCUGCUGGUGAUUGGUCCUGAGAAUGGAAAGGACUUCCAGCUCAUUAAGGGCUCUAUGAAGCGGAACGGAUUUCCUGUCAUGGUGCUGCAGAGGCAUGAGUUCUGCCAACACAUCCCCAACGUCAACCUGACCAGCGGAGACGCAGCAUUUGCGGAAUCCACUGCUGGAGUUCUGAACACAGAGCGAGCAGCUAGAGCAGCACAGGUAGAUUUCCAUAGACAUGGUGGUGUGAUCCAGGAUAGACAGAAUUGCUACAAAUGA
rnacentral:lncRNA from 1 species